UGCAGUAAAAAUGAGAACACAGCUUUAUUAUACAACGAUAAGCACAAAAUUGUUCCAGUUUCAAAUGGUUGGCUCCAGCCAUGACUUGUAGUCGGAUACUUAGAUUCUAACACGCUUUGAGGUAUAAAAUGGAGGACUGUAAACAAAAUCGUGGCAGUGGGCAGUGACCUUAAAGAAGGGCUGAAAGCAGUGGGCAGCGGCCUUUAAGAAGGGCUGAAAGCAGUGGGCAUGCAUUUGGGUAAUAAACGAGCUGAAUAUGCAUGUCAUAAUUAUAUAAUUACUCAACUUAUCAUGAGUUCAGGUCACUCAUUCCUCUAUCCCUCACAGACACUAUCAAAACAAUUAUGCAAGGUGUAUUUGGGCGGCCUCCCUGCUGCGGUGAGCAAAGGAGACAUCAGGGAGGCCCUCCAUUGUUUUGGAGCCACCAGCGUGAUUCAUUAUUAAGGGUGGUGGUUCGACCAAUUAACUUGACUGUGCUAUACUUUUCUGUUGUACAGUGUGUGGAAAUACCAGGACGACAAGGAGUGACAAGGGGAUAUGCCUUCGUCACAUUUGGUUUGCAAACGUCAGCUGAAAAGGCAAUAAAAGCCAAACAAAUUGUUAUUAACGGGAAAAAAUUAAUACAUACGACCACCACCACAGCAACCAUAGAACAACGAUCAGCAACACAGAGAAGAACAUUAAUUAAUUAAACCUGGACCCAACACUCCAAAUCACUUGUAUACAUUGUGUUAUUUUAUAUGCCUCGAUGCGCAUGCGCAAGACCAUGUAUUUUAUAUUUUACAGUAAAAGUUACGUUACUUGUUUGUGUGGUGAAUUGUGCAAAAUGAGUCAAAAUUAAAUUACCGUAACGCAUACUAAUAAAAUGUAUACUCGCGAAAAUCACCAUUUCCCAUUCAGUUAAACGAAUCUCACGAAAAUUUACCCACUAUAACUAUACGGUAGUAAGACUUUUGCUCAGAAGUAGAGAUACACACACCUGUUCACAUUUC